ensembl:snoRNA LOC120098732 small nucleolar RNA U3
AAGACUAUACUUUUAGGGAUCAUUUCCAUAGUUUGUUACUAGAAAAGUUUCCCUGACUGUGUAGAGCACCCGAAGCCAUGAGGACGAGAAACAGCAAACAGCAUCCCCUCCUGAGUGUGAAGCCGGCUCUAGGUGCUGCUUCUGCGUGGCUGCCUCUUGCCACUAACGAUCUCAUCCUUCACUCCUAUGGGAGGGUGAGAGGGAGGGAACGCAGUCUGAGUGGA